rnacentral:lncRNA from 1 species
GAGCUGCUUCCACAGGAAGUUGGACUUACAGAGCCUUGUCUUGCCCUGGGCUUCACUCAAAACUGGCAGCCUUGUGGGCUACUCAGUAAUCAGUUCCCGGCAGAGGGAGUCCUGUAAGUUCCUGUUUUUCCUUCAUGGCCUUGGAGUUAUAGUACCCAGCACAGGACCCUGGGGGAGCCUGUAAUAAUCCUUCUCUCAGCAGCUGCAGACUGGCUGAUUUCUCCAGGUCCCAAACUCUAUCUUGGAAGGAGAUAAAGUGAUUCUGAAAUGCCAAGAAAGGGAGGAAAAGGAGUUGAAUGAAAUGAUUUACUACAAGGAUGGGAG